UAGCCAAACCUUCUAGUAUGUCAAAACAAAAAAACCUUAAUUUUUUAACAUAAAUCAAUAAAUGAACUUUGACAAAAAAGAUGGUUGAUUGUCUGACGAUCUAUCGUUGGUGCAUAAAUACAAUUAUACUGUGUUUUUGUGCCAUAUUUAUCUUCCUACGCAUGUUAAUGGCUAUCAUUUGCCAAGUCGGCGGAAACAUUUACCGGUGACACCGAGUGCUAAGCUAAAUACAGCUGAAACCUGGCACCUAGCGAUGUAUGGAUAAGCAGAACCGGAACCUGUAUUGAAACUUGGCACAUAAAAUCAUAUUUAUAUCUCUUAUUAAAUUAAAUGCAAUUCUCUAUUGAAAUAUAUACUUUUAAUAUAAAUAAUAUAUUCUAAAAAUGUUGAGCAUCAGAAAAGUA